UUGAACGCUGGCGGCAGGCCUAACACCUGCAAGUCGAGCGGAUGAAGGGAGCUUGCUCCUGGAUUCAGCGGCGGACGGGUGAGUAAUGCCUAGGAAUCUGCCUGGUAUUGGGGGAUAACGUCCGGAAACGGGCGCUAAUACCGCAUACGUCCUGAGGGAGAAAGUGGGGGAUCUUCGGACCUCACGCUAUCAGAUGAGCCUAGGUCGGAUUAGCUAGUUGGUGGGGUAAAGGCCUACCAAGGCGACGAUCCGUAACUGGUCUGAGAGGAUGAUCAGUCACACUGGAACUGAGACACGGUCCAGACUCCUACGGGAGGCAGCAGUGGGGAAUAUUGGACAAUGGGCGAAAGCCUGAUCCAGCCAUGCCGCGUGUGUGAAGAAGGUCUUCGGAUUGUAAAGCACUUUAAGUUGGGAGGAAGGGCAGUAAGUUAAUACCUUGCUGUUUUGACGUUACCAACAGAAUAAGCACCGGCUAACUUCGUG
rnacentral:rRNA from 1 species